rnacentral:misc_RNA from 1 species
UCCGAGUUGACCCCGGCAGUCUCCUAUGAGUCCCCACCAUAACGUGCUGGCAACAUAGGAUAAGGGUUGCGCUCGUUGCGGGACUUAACCCAACAUCUCACGACACGAGCUGACGACAGCCAUGCACCACCUGUGAUCCUGCCCCGAAGGGAAGCCCCGUUUCCGGAGCGGUCAGGAACAUGUCAAGCCCAGGUAAGGUUCUUCGCGUUGCGUCGAAUUAAACCACAUGCUCCGCUGCUUGUGCGGGCCCCCGUCAAUUCCAUUGAGUUUUAGCCUUGCGGCCGUACUCCCCAGGCGGGGUGCUUAAUGCGUUAGCUUCGGCACGGAAGGGGUUGAUCGUCCCCCCACACCUAGCACCCAACGUUUACGGCUGGGACUAC